AGCAGCCGCGGUAAUUCCAGCUCCAAUAGCGUAUAUUAAAGUUGUUGCAGUUAAAAAGCUCGUAGUUGAAUUUCGGGACUAAUAUGUCGGUCGUGCCUCGGUACGCACUGGCUUAUUGGUUUCUCCUUUCUGAAGAACCAUGAUGUCAUUUAUUUGGUGUCGUGGGGAAUCAGGACUGUUACUUUGAAAAAAUUAGAGUGUUUAAAGCAGGCUCACGCUUGAAUACAUUAGCAUGGAAUAAUGAAAUAGGACGUUUGAUUCUAUUUUGUUGGUUUCUAGGAUCGACGUAAUGAUUAAUAGGGAUAGUUGGGGGCAUUAGUAUUCAAUUGUCAGAGGUGAAAUUCUUGGAUUUAUUGAAGACUAGCUACUGCGAAAGCAUUUGCCAAGGAUGUUUUCAUUAAUCAAGAACGAAAGUUAGGGGAUCGAAGACGAUCAGAUACCGUCGUAGUCUUAACCAUAAACUAUGCCGACUAGGGAUCGGAUGAUGUUAAUUUUUAAUGUACUCAUUCGGCGCCUUAAC
rnacentral:rRNA from 1 species